rnacentral:rRNA from 1 species
GAUGAACGCUGGCGGCGUGCCUAAUACAUGCAAGUCGAGCGAACAGACGAGGAGCUUGCUCCUCUGACGUUAGCGGCGGACGGGUGAGUAACACGUGGAUAACCUACCUAUAAGACUGGGAUAACUUCGGGAAACCGGAGCUAAUACCGGAUAAUAUAUUUAACCGCAUGGUUCAAUAUUGAAAGACGGUUUUGCUGUCACUUAUAGUUGGAUCCGCGCCGCAUUAGCUAGUUGGUAAGGUAACGGCUUACCAAGGCAACGAUGCGUAGCCGACCUGAGAGGGUGAUCGGCCACACUGGAACUGAGACACGGUCCAGACUCCUACGGGAGGCAGCAGUAGGGAAUCUUCCGCAAUGGGCGAAAGCCUGACGGAGCAACGCCGCGUGAGUGAUGAAGGUCUUCGGAUCGUAAAACUCUGUUAUUAGGGAAGAACAAAUGUGUAAGUAACUAUGCACGUCUUGACGGUACCUAAUCAGAAAGCCACGGCUAACUACGUG